GCUCCUAAAGGAUAAAAGUUCAUCCACUGGUCUUAGGAACCAGUAACUCUUGGUGCAAAUCCAAGGUAGUAGCU
rnacentral:tRNA from 1 species